AUGAACUGCUUGGAAUUGUUGAUUGGAUUGGAGCUAUUGCGUGGACAAAUACAUUCUUGUUGGAGGGAGAUGACUCAGCUGAAAAUACCAUGGACACCUCCUCUUAAUGCAUGUGCUGUUACAUUACUUGCGCAUGCUAGAGAGAGUUUUUCAUGCAAGUGCAAGAUCAAAGGAAGUCAUACUAUCGUGGGGUUAUGGAAGCAUGAGUACUGGCAGCCUACUAUGAAGACUAGUGACUGGUAUACAAAGAGUUGCACAUAUUCAUGGGUAUCACUGAACUCCAAGUUAAUUAAUCUGAAUGAAGUGAUUCCAGUUGACAUGUUGCAGCUACCAACUUCAGAUGAGGAGUUUGUAAUAUGGCCCAGACCUAUUGGAUGGUUUGCAACAAGUGAUCAGUUUGUCGAUCUCGGGUUGGGCUAUUCUUCUUAUCAUCUAGUCAGGGUAAUAACUACGGUUGUUUCAUUGAAGAAAUCCUGGUUGCGGGAAAUUAUUGAGGAGCUUUCCGAACUAGGACCUCAAGGACAAACAUUGCAAAGGCAGGAUAACAAGCUUUGGGAAUCACUAUUGCUUAAUGAUCAUGAUACACUAUGCUCCUUGCAACUAAUAUGGAAUCCUGGAGGCAUCAAAGGCAUCGGCUUGGGGACAAGCCAAAACUAAAGGAAGGGAG
rnacentral:lncRNA from 1 species